rnacentral:tRNA from 1 species
GCCCGGUUAGCUCAACCGUUAGAGCGUUGGACUUUUAUUCCAACGUUCAAGGGUUCAAGUCCCUUUUCUGGCU